rnacentral:rRNA from 1 species
GAUGAACGCUGGCGGCGUGCCUAAUACAUGCAAGUCGAGCGAACAGACGAGGAGCUUGCUCCUUUGACGUUAGCGGCGGACGGGUGAGUAACACGUGGGUAACCUACCUAUAAGACUGGGAUAACUUCGGGAAACCGGAGCUAAUACCGGAUAAUAUUUCGAACCGCAUGGUUCGAUAGUGAAAGAUGGCUUUGCUAUCACUUAUAGAUGGACCUGCGCCGUAUUAGCUAGUUGGUAAGGUAACGGCUUACCAAGGCAACGAUACGUAGCCGACCUGAGAGGGUGAUCGGCCACACUGGAAUGGAGAAACGGCCCAGACUCCUACGGGAGGCAGCAGUAGGGAAUCUUCCGCAAUGGGCGAAAGCCUGACGGAGCAACGCCGCGUGAGUGAUGAAGGUCUUCGGAUCGUAAAACUCUGUUAUUAGGGAAGAACAAACGUGUAAGUAACUGUGCACGUCUUGACGGUACCUAAUCAGAAAGCCACGGCUAACUACGUG